UGGGACUAAUCCAACAUAACGAGACAGGAAGGAAGCAAAACUGAGCCAAGAGAAAAACUGUUUUCUCUUGGUUUAGACAUAACCAAUGUCUCUGUUAAGGACGUACAAGCUGUACGAGAAUGCAGAAGGAAACCAUGGCUAAACUAACCUCCAAACUGUAGGACCAUGGAAACCUGGAACAUGAAGGGAGAAAAGCUGACAAGGGACAGCUUGUGGAUAAUACGCUGCAGCUAAAGAGGGCCAGAAUAUCACCAAAGGUCCUUCCUGAUGUG